ACUACCCCCAUCAUCCCCAUCAAGCUUGAAUUUGUUCAGCUUGAGAGAACAAGACUGUUUUAAAUUUUGGUUAAAGGAAAGGGAGGAAGACUUGUACUCCUCCUAAGCUUUUAGAAGUUAGGGAAGGAUAAGUCCGUGUGCUUUAGAGACCCAUCCAAAGGUUUGCUUGUAAGCAGAGUGGGGUUAAAUACAAAGAUUUGCUUUAGCUAGGAUAAGGAAACACUGGAUACCUGACUCGAUCUCUGAAGUUAAAAAAUGACCUUUCAUUGCAUAAUUUUAGAGCAGAAAUAAAAGAAGGCUUGCAGCUACCGGAAAGUCAUUAAGGCAUUAGUUUCCCUAAGAAGACAGAUCUGAAGAAAAUGCAAGAAAAUGAGAAAAAUAAAAACAAGAUAUCUCUUGCACUUUGCCCCACUUCCCAUUGGGGCGAUCAAUUUGGCUUCCUUGCU